rnacentral:rRNA from 1 species
AUUGAACGCUGGCGGAAUGCUUUACACGUGCAAGUCGAACGAUGAAGCCUAGCUUGCUAGGUCGAUUAGUGGCGAACGGGUGAGUAAUAUAUCGGAACGUAUCCAAUAAUGGGGGAUAACUAGUCGAAAGAUUGGCUAAUACCGCAUACGUCCUACGGGAGAAAGCUGGGGAUCGUAAGACCUGGCGUUAAUGGAGCGGCCGAUAUCUGAUUAGCUAGUUGGUGAGGUAAAGGCUCACCAAGGCGACGAUCAGUAGCUGGUCUGAGAGGACGACCAGCCACACUGGAACUGGGACACGGUCCAGACUCCUACGGGAGGCAGCAGUGGGGAAUUUUGGACAAUGGGCGAAAGCCUGAUCCAGCCAUUCCGCGUGAGUGAAGAAGGCCUUCGGGUUGUAAAGCUCUUUCGCAAGGGAAGAACACUUACUUAAUAACACUAAGUGAGGUUGACGGUACCUUGAUAAGAAGCACCGGCUAACUACGUGCCAGCAGCCGCUGUAAUAC